rnacentral:rRNA from 1 species
AUACGGAGGGUGCGAGCGUUAAUCGGAAUUACUGGGCGUAAAGCGCACGUAGGCGGUUUGUUAAGUCGGAUGUGAAAUCCCCGGGCUCAACCUGGGACCUGCAUCCGAUACUGGCGGGCUAGAGUCUGGUAGAGGGGGGUAGAAUUCCUGGUGUAGCGGUGAAAUGCGUAGAUAUCAGGAGGAAUACCAGUGGCGAAGGCGGCCCCCUGGACUGAGACUGACGCUGAGGUGCGAAAGCGUGGGGAGCAAACAGGAUUAGAAACCCUAGUAGUCC